GUCACCGCCCGUCGCUCUACCGAUUGAAUGGUCCGGUGAAGUUUUCGGAUUGCGGCGACGCCGGCGGUUCGCCGCCGGUGACGUUGUGAGAAGUUCAUUAAACCUUAUCAUUUAGAGGAAGGAGAAGUCGUAACAAGGUUUCCGUAGGUGAACCUGCGGAAGGAUCAUUG
rnacentral:rRNA from 1 species